CCCCAGUGUUGAUCACUGACUGUUCACUCCUUUCAGAGCCACUGACACGCAGCACAAUGAUGAUGUCACUGAUUAUACUGCUGGGGACACUGGGGCUCCUUCUUCAGGAAUCAUCAGCAGAUAUAAUCCUGACCCAGUCUCCUAAAUCUCAGUCUGUUCGCCCAGGAGAGUCUGUCUCUAUCAGCUGUACAGCCAGUUCAAGUACUGGUAAUAAUCUCCAGUGGUACCUGCAGAAACCUGGAGAAGCUCCUAAACUCCUGGUUUAUUCUGCUACAACCCGUCAGUCUGGGAUUCCAGGUCGUUUCAGUGGGAGUAGAUCUGGUAGUUCAUAUACUCAUUACACUCUGACCAUCAGUGGAGUCCAGGCUGAAGAUGCAGCAGAUUACUACUGUCAGCAGGGUGCCAGUUAUCCGUUCACACAGUGUUGGAACGUCGUACAAAAACCUCCCCCAGCUAAAGAGGAACUGCUCUGACUCAACAGCUGCAGAACUACAGAGUCUCCCAUAUUCUAAAGUAUUCUAAACACCAAUUCAUCACAAUAUGACACGACAAUAAUGUAAUUGGUUAGACUUGUCUAUGGACUAUGAUACUGUACAUAUCUCUCAUUAUAUUCUGCAAAAAUGUUAAAUCUUUGUUUAACACACUGGGACCACUUAGGAUACAGAGCUGUAGAAAAUGCUUUCUUUUGAAGGACAUGUUGAACAAAAUUCAGAAUAGGUUAAGAUUUUUUUUCACGUUUUGAUUUAUCUUGAUAUUGUAAGAAGCAGUCAUUUCAUUACACAAUAGCAGGAAUGUGGAUCCUGUCCGAACCCAACUAUUCAUGCCCUGCUCAACUUCAACCUUGAAGGAGUGAAUACAGUCAUAUCGAUUCCAUUCAAGAUGUACUACUUUAUUAAUAAGAUUAUUAUACAUGUCACAAAUAAAUGUAGUCUACAUACUGUAUACAAAGCCAUUAGAAGACUGUGAAUUUCCCAAUUUGAACAUUAUGCAAAGUCCAGUGUAAAGUCGGCCAGCCCAUGUUCAGAUCUUUAGUCAGACACACAGCUGCCCCAGUCCCAGAGGAUUUGAGGCUGAGUGAUUGUGAUCUCUGGUUGGCUUGAAACUCAGAUUUACAUGGGCAGGGUGACCGCAACACUCCCAGAAUAGAGCAGUACCAUGGCCAGAUGUUCACCUGUUAACAGAGAGUUCCAUUGAGCUUGGAGCACAUGGCUUCAGUAUUGGCAACAUCCAGAGUCAUAUAUUUAGAGAGUUAGGCCAACUUUUAGAGUUUGAUUAUUGUUCUAAUUCUAGACAUUCAGUUACACAGCAUUGUUGUAAUGUUAAUGGGGAGCUACUAUGCCUGCCACAGAAUGUUGAAGUGUCAUGUAAAUAUAUCAUAAUGCAGAAACCUCAGUGUCCUCUUUAAAACAUGGUUCUGGUAAAAUCAUAAAGACUGAUAAGUCUAGAGAACAUGGCUUCAGUAUUAGUAUCACUGUAGAUAUCAUUUUGACAGGCACCAAAUGUGGCCCAACCAGCCAAACAUUCAUUGAGAGAGGUUGAUUGUGUAAAAUGUUCUUGUAAAAUCACUUUCCUGGACAGAGAGCUC